AGGCAGAAGAUUCUUUAACAGAGCAGGAAGGUACUCAAACAUUGGUGUCCAACCUUCUGGCUUGCCUGGGCUGCAGUCUCUCAUUGGGAAGGGACUGGAUAUUUGCUUUCUGGUUCACUUUACUCCAUUUCUGGCUGCUCAGCAUGCCCCAGACAAUGAUGCAGAAGGUCAGUGAUGGUAAUGCAAGGAGUCAUUUGAGGAAUCUGAAGAGAGAACAGAAAGCUGAUGACAACUCUAAGGUGAGCAAUGCCAUGAAUGAACUAUCCCUGGCUUAGCUAUGAAAUCAUAUGGG
ensembl:lncRNA